GACGAACGCUGGCGGCGUGCUUAACACAUGCAAGUCGAACGGAAAGACCCUGCUUUUGUGGGGUGCUCGAGUGGCGAACGGGUGAGUAACACGAGAGUAACCUGCCCUUGACUUUGGUAUAACUUCAGGAAACUGGGGCUAAUACCGGAUAGCAGCUCCUGCUGCAUGGAGGGGGGUGGAUAGUUUAGGCGGUUGGGGAUGGACUCGCGGCUUAUCGGCUUGUUGGUGGGGUAGUGGCUUACCCAGGAUUUGACGGGUAGCCGGCCUGAGAGGGUGACCGGCCACAUUGGGACUGAGAUACGGACCAGACUCCUACGGGAGGCAGCAGUGGGGAAUAUUGCACAAUGGGCGGAAGCCUGAUGCAGCGACGCCGCGUGCGGGAUGACGGCCUUCGGGUUGUAAACCGCUUUCGCCUGUGACGAAGCGUGAGUGACGGUAAUGGGUAAAGAAGCACCGGCUAACUACGUG
rnacentral:rRNA from 1 species